rnacentral:rRNA from 1 species
GACGAACGCUGGCGGCGUGCCUAAUACAUGCAAGUCGAGCGAAUCUGAGGGAGCUUGCUCCCUCAGAUUAGCGGCGGACGGGUGAGUAACACGUGGGCAACCUGCCUGUAAGACUGGAAUAACUUCGGGAAACCGGAGCUAAUACCGGAUAACUCUUAUCAACACAUGUUGGUAAGCUAAAAGACGGUUUCAGCUGUCACUUACAGAUGGGCCCGCGGCGCAUUAGCUAGUUGGUGAGGUAACGGCUCACCAAGGCAACGAUGCGUAGCCGACCUGAGAGGGUGAUCGGCCACACUGGGACUGAGACACGGCCCAGACUCCUACGGGAGGCAGCAGUAGGGAAUCUUCCGCAAUGGACGAAAGUCUGACGGAGCAACGCCGCGUGAGUGAUGAAGGUUUUCGGAUCGUAAAACUCUGUUGUUAGGGAAGAACAAGUACGAGAGUAACUGCUCGUACCUUGACGGUACCUAACCAGAAAGCCACGGCUAACUACGUGCCAGCAGCAGCCGCAGUAA